AACGAACGCUGGCGGCGUGGAUAAGACAUGCAAGUCGAACGGAAUUACUUUUGUAGCAAUACAGAAGUAAUUCAGUGGCGAACGGGUGCGUAACACGUGGGCAAUCUGCCGAGAAGUGGGGGAUAGCUCGCCGAAAGGCGAAUUAAUACCGCAUGUGGUGAGGGAAGACAUCUUCCUGAAUCCAAAGCCGGGGUAACCUGGCGCUUUUUGAGGAGCCCGCGGCCUAUCAGCUUGNGGUGAGGUAACGGCUCACCAAGGCUUUGACGGGUAGCUGGUCUGAGAGGACGACCAGUCACACUGGAACUGAGACACGGUCCAGACACCUACGGGUGGCAGCAGUCGAGAAUUUUUCUCAAUGGGGGAAACCCUGAAGGAGCGACGCCGCGUGGAGGAUG
rnacentral:rRNA from 1 species